rnacentral:rRNA from 1 species
GAUGAACGCUGGCGGCAUGCUUUACACAUGCAAGUCGGACGGGAAGUGGUGUUUCCAGUGGCGGGCGGGUGAGUCACGCGUGAGAACCUGCCCUUGGUAGGGUAACAACAGCUGUAAACGGCCGUCAAUACCCUGUAGCCUGUGGAGCGUAAGGGGGAAUCCGCCCAAGGGGGGGCUCGCGUAUGAGUAGGUAGGUGGGGAGGUACUAGCCUACGCAGGCGGUGAUCAGUAGGUGGUCUGAGAGGAUGGUCAACAACGCGGGGGCGGAGACAAGGCCCAGACUCCGGCAGGAGGCAGCGGUGGAUAAUGUACAACAGGGGGCAGAAGGCUGACGGAACGAUGCCGCGUGGAGGUAAGAGGCCUAGGGGUAAUGAGCUUCUGUUCGUGGAGAAGAGAGAGUGACGGUAAUGGGUGAAGAAGCACCGGCUAACUCUGUG